rnacentral:rRNA from 1 species
AGUGAACGCUGGCGGUAGGCCUAACACAUGCAAGUCGAACGGCAGCACAGUAGGAGCUUGCUCUUACGGGUGGCGAGUGGCGGACGGGUGAGGAAUACAUCGGAAUCUACUUUUUCGUGGGGGAUAACGUAGGGAAACUUACGCUAAUACCGCAUACGACCUACGGGUGAAAGCAGGGGGUCUUCGGACCUUGCGCGAUUGAAUGAGCCGAUGUCGGAUUAGCUAGUUGGCGGGGUAAAGGCCCACCAAGGCGACGAUCCGUAGCUGGUCUGAGAGGAUGAUCAGCCACACUGGAACUGAGACACGGUCCAGACUCCUACGGGAGGCAGCAGUGGGGAAUAUUGGACAAUGGGCGCAGGCCUGAUCCAGCCAUACCGCGUGGGUGAAGAAGGCCUUCGGGUUGUAAAGCCCUUUUGUUGGGAAAGAAAAGCAGCAGGUUAAUACCCCGCUGUUCUGACGGUACCCAAAGAAUAAGCACCGGCUAACUUCGUG